UUAAAAUCUAAUAGCUAAAACCUAACCCAAUACCCCAGAGGCCCAAACACGAUAGCCCAACUACAAGAACAGGCCCAAUAAGCCCAUAUCCUUAACAGGUUUCAGAAAUCCUAAGUCAUCCCCCUUCCUUGCGCCGCAGCAACCCUUGGCCUCCGUACCCUCCAGCGCCAUACGCUCCGUACCCCCCAGCAGCCAUGCCCGCGCCAGCACAACCUCCGUACGAUGCCAACACACCUGUACCUACAAAAGAAACAGACAAGCGCAGCAGCAGAUACAAACAAAGAAAGCACAUAUUGUAUUUUGAUUUAUUUUCCUCUUUCUUUUCGGCUAUAAAGCCAAG
rnacentral:lncRNA from 1 species